UAUCAUUUGGAUCUAUGAUACGGGCUCAUUGUAGAUGGUCUGAGCUCAAGGAGCAUUAUUCUUCUAAUCAAAUAGAUAUUUUUAGUAUAAUAAAAUAAAAUUUUACUGUAUUGUGUAAAUUUUAUGCUAGUUUUAUUUUUCCUCAAAGAAAAGAGAUGCGGCAUCUAUGUGCUAACAACAGAAUAUGAUUGGUUGUUUUCUCUUUUGUUGCCACAGGUGCUGUUUCUAGUGCUUUGG
rnacentral:misc_RNA from 1 species